UUUCAUUUAAAUAUAAAUUUUUAAUUUAUUUAUUUAGCCGUUCAUUAACAAGUCCUGUGCUUUAUAAUAUAUUAAAAAAUGGAAGGACAUGAAGAAAACAGGUUUGUAAAUGAUGUUGUACAUCAUGCAGAUAGCUCAGAAGAAGAAGCAGGAAUGUUUGACUGGAAAUAUAAACGAUGUUGUACAUAAUGCAGAUAGCUUAGGCAAAAAAGAGAUUGGUGAAAUGGAGAAUGAGACUAACUAGGGU
rnacentral:lncRNA from 1 species